rnacentral:rRNA from 1 species
CGCCCUUAGAGUUUGAUCAUGGCUCAGGACGAACGCUGGCGGUGUGCCUAAUACAUGCAAGUUGAGCGUUGGUACUUGUACCAAGAGCAGCGAACGGGUGAGUAACGCGUGGGGAAUCUGCCUUUGAGCGGGGGACAACAUUUGGAAACGAAUGCUAAUACCGCAUAAAAACUUAACACAAGUUUAAGUUGAAAGAUGAUUGCAUCACUCAAAGAUGAUCCCGCGUUGUAUUAGCUAGUUGGUGAGGUAAAGGCUCACCAAGGCGAUGAUACAUAGCCGACCUGAGAGGGUGAUCGGCCACAUUGGGACUGAGACACGGCCCAAACUCCUACGGGAGGCAGCAGUAGGGAAUCUUCGGCAAUGGACGAAAGUCUGACCGAGCAACGCCGCGUGAGUGAAGAAGGUUUUCGGAUCGUAAAACUCUGUUGGUAGAGAAGAACGUUGGUGAGGAAACUCAUCAAGUGACGGUAACUACCCAGAAAGGGACGGCUAACUACGUGCCAGCAGCCGCGGUAAUACGUAGGUCCCGAGCGUUGUCCGGAUUUAUUGGGCGUAAAGCGAGCGCAGUGGUUUAUUAAGUCUGGUGUAAAAGGCAGUGGCUCAACCAUUGUAUGCAUUGGAAACUGGUAGACUUGAGUGCAGGAGAGGAGAGUGGGAUUUCAUGUGUAGCGGUGAAAUGCGUAGAUAUAUGGAGGAACACCGGUGGCGAAAGCGGCUCUCUGGCUGUAACUGACACUGAAGCUCG